CCUGACGCAGCGCGUCGAGCAGCAGCGGCCACGCGUCGCUGUGGCGGUCCUCCAGCACAGGCACCGUGGUCGUGUCGUACGUGGCGAACAGCCACUCGAGGUACGUCGGCGUCGAUGUGCGGCCGUGCGAGUGCACCGCAUCACGCACGAGCGGCAGCACCGUCGUGAGCUUGCAGGGCGCAGGCACGUCGCGCACGAGGCCGAGCCACGCGGUGCGCGCGUCGAGGUCCGGCGUGCACACGGCGUGGCUCAGCAGGUAGCACAGCACCUUUGUGCGGAACUGGGCGUCCUUCUUGCCGCUGCCGCGCAAGACGGUGGCGUGCGUCGCAGCGAGGUACGACGCGUCGUUGACGAACGCGCCUGCCUCCCGCGCGAGCAGCGACACAUACUUGGCGUACGUCGGCGCGUCGAGGUACUGCAGCGCGGCGCUCCGAGCGCCGUACACGGUCUCGAGGCCGUACACGUCGCGUGUGCCCUCGACCGCCGCGUGCCACUCGUCCAUCGCGCACAGCAGCUGCGCUGCGGCGUCGCGCAGCACGGGCACCGUGUCCUGCAGCACAACGAGCAGGCUCGGCAGCAGCGUCUGCAGGUCGAGCGCGUGCGACUGCGCGGCCGCCGCGCGCACGAGCAUCGCGGCGUGGCGCAUGGCCAUCAGGCGCACCGGCACUUCGCUGCGCGGCACCACACACUGCGUGUCCAGCGCGUCGGCGAGCUCGGCGACCGACGUGGGCGCCGCGCCGUCCGAGCCGCCCGGCGUCGUCCACACGCCGGCAAGCAGCGCGAGCGCCUGAGGGCCGAGGCGCUCAAAGAACACCGGCACGAGCGUCUGCGAGGCAACCGCGCCGGCGCCCGGCGCAUGCAGCGUCUGGUACACGAGCAGCACGAGCUGCGCGGCCGGCGUGCGGCGCUGCUGCACAUCGACAAACAGCGACGCAUCGUGGCCGACGGGCAUGUGCCGCAGCACCGUGUACAGCAGCUGCACGCCGAGCAGGCGCACCGUGCUGCGCGAGAGCUUUUCGUGCACCUGCUGCACGAUCGCGCGGUCCACCGAGUCGCCGAGGAUCACAUCGUCCACCUGCCCCGCGAGCAGCUGCUGCGUGUGGACGAGCACCACGGCGCGGUACGCCAGCGCCGUCCACACGCGCGGCGGGAGCGGCUGCGCGAGCAGCUGGCUCAGCACGAGCAGGGCGAGCGCACCGCCACGCGAGAUGGGCGCGUCGAGCGCGUCGCACAGGAACUGCGCCUCGUCCAGGAGGGCCGCCUCAGAGCUCGCCUUCUGCUGCGCCACGAGCGCCUGCGUCAUGGCCAGCGUCCAGGCGACGGGGUCGGCGUGCACGUCGUGCGACGCCGACGCGUCCUUGAUGGCCAGCGCCCACGGCACGGCACGCACCAUCUGCGGAUCAGACAGGGGCAGCGCGUCGACGCAUGGCGCGUCGCCCGCCAGCGGCAGGAGGCGCGGCCACACGAGCUCGCGGCCGAUGCGCGCGCCCAGCUCAGGCGCCGCAGGGAGCAGUGCCUCGACGGCGAGCGCGAGCGUGGGCACCACAGUCUCCGGCGCCCGAUCGCUGCUGGGGCGCAGCGCGUCCAGCAGUGUAGGCGCGCCGCAUGCCUGCAGCAGCGUGUCGGUGUGCUGGCGCAAGAGUGCGAGCACCGGCGCACUUGCGCGCGCUAGGGCCGUCUCGAGAGCACUGCGCACGAGGGGGUCGCUCGCGCGAACGUGGCCCUCUUGCACGGCCUGCAGCAGGUGCUGCAGGGCGAGUUGCUGCGCGCUCGCAUCCGCACUGUGCACGCCGAGCCACAGGGCCGCGUCCGUGGCGCCGGCGGCCGGCACCGUGCCGGCGGCCUGCCACUCGAGCACGGCGCUGAGGACGUUCCAGGCCUGUGCGGCGUCGACGGCCUGCGCGUCGGACACGGCGCGAUCGAAGGCGUCUGGAUCGCGCUCGCGGCGCUGAGCGAGCAAGCACACGCGCGCCUCCCAGUGUUCCUGCGCCGGCGCACACAGCAAGCGCACAUACACGCGGUGCGCGAGCGACUUGGGCAGCGCUGGGUCGUCGAGCACCUGCUCCAGGAGGGCGCGCGCCGGCGCAUGCGCGAGGUGCGCGCAGAGGGCGGCGAGUAGCUGUGCGGAGAACGGCGCGACGUCGUGGGAGGCGAGCGCGCGCGACCACUGCGCGCUGAGCUGCGGGAGCGUGAGGAGGGCGUGGAGCGUCGGCUCGGACAGAAGCUGCGCGGCGGCCGGGCGGAACGGGUCGUGGGCGUCCUCGGGGCUCGCACACAGCGCAAUGCAGGCGGCGACGACGGCGCGCGCCACGUCCGGUGCGGCGUCAGGCGUGGCGAGGUGUGCGAUGCCGUCGAUGAGGCCACGCACCGCGGCGGCGCUCAGGGGGAAGGCGGCGCCCACCGAGCAGAGCACCAUGAGCGCGCCGAUGGCUGCCUCGGUGUCGCGCGCAUCGGCCAUGUAGCUGAUCUCCGGCACGAGGAUGGCCAGGACGGCCUGCGCGUCGGCGGCGCCGCGGCGCCUGGAGGCGCGGCGGUGCAAGCAGAACUGCACGAGGAUGGACGUCCAGAACGGCACAUGCGCGCGGCGCACGGCCACGCCUCUUGGCGCGCGCGCAUGGGCGACCCAGCGGAGCAGGUCGAGUUGGCCGCCGAGGGCAUGCAGGAGCACGGUCAUGGGCAGGGGUGUCUGGGCCUUUUGGACGGGCUGCAGAAAGUGCAGCGCAGGCUCGGCGUCGAGCGGCACGAGCUGCAGCAUGCGCGCGAACUGCGGCGUGAGGUGGUAUGGCAGGAACGCACGCAGCACGUCGCGCGGCGAGUACACGUGGAUGCGGAAGCGGCGGACGAGCCACUCGAUGCACUUGGCCGCGCUGCGCGAUAGGAGGCGGGGGCCGACGAGGUAGAGGAACUCGGCGACGGCCGCGUCGAUCUCGGCGUUCGCCGACUUGGGUAGCGUCGUGCGGUCCGUGUGCACGCUCUUCUCGCCAAAGAGCAGAUCGCCGUGCGGCCACUGAGCCAGCACCGCGUCCUCGUCCAUGAGCUGCUCCCAGCCGGUCUGGCCGAGGGCGUGCACGGUGGCGUGGUCCUGUUCGGCAGCCACGCGCGGCGUGAAUAGGUACGAGUCACGCGAGGUCAUCGCACUGGCGCUGGCGAGGCGCGCAGCAUUGUGCGAGCGCAGACCCGCCAGCUGCGACGCCAGCGAAGAGGUCAUGGCGUGCGUCAAGCACGGCGGCGCCGGAGGGCGAAAAAAAAGGACCACGUGCUACUCCACUAUCUCUCGCCGUCCGGGUCCGCGGCGCGGGGCGACCAGGGCACCAUGGCGUCGAGUUCGGGGCCGCUCUCGGCUGGGCCAAAGAGGGGUCCCUCGUACUCGUAGGGCGUGUCCCAGUAAGAGUCCAUAGGCGACGAUGGCUCGAACACGAGCACGAACGGGGUCAGCGGCUCGGACUCGGGCGACGACGGGGGGUCCGACAUGGAAGAGAGCGGCGUCAGCGGCGACGACAGGGGCGAGUCGGACGAGCGCAGCGACGGCGUCUCGCUGGGCGUGAGCUCCAGGGGCAGGUGACUGACGUGGAGUACCUUGGAUGGCGUGGACUUGUCCAUGCUGCCCUGGGGCGGCGUCGCUUGCUCGCCCGCCUUGGGCUCCAUGUGCGGCUUGCGGCGCAAGCGGUUCGAUGGGUGGGUCGCCGACUCGGGCGACGAGCCGCGCUGGCCGGCGGCCAAGCGCUCCCUGCGCCGCUGAGCGCGGGCCUCGCGUGCAAGCGUCUCGUCUGCGCUGCGCAGGGGUAUCUGAGGCUCGACCUUCACCACAGGCUGCUGGCGAGUGGGGCGCGCACUGCGUCGCUGCGCGUGGUCCUGGGGGGCGGGCGCGUGGGCUGCGCUGCGCGGGGGUAUCUUGUGCUCGCUCUCGCCGUCUUUCGUGGGCUGCGUGAGCCCGCGCUUCUUGGGCAUGCGUGCGAGCCAUCCUGUGCAGCUGGGCGCGCCACACAAGCAUCGCUCGCCUGAGAUCAUCUGGCCAUUCUCGUCGAGACUGGGCGGCUGAAAGGCCGACCAGCCGUAGUCGUACGUGAUCUCUUCGCCCGCGCUGAUGUCGCGGAGCGCAAAGAGGGCGAGCUGGUAUUCGGCAUUGCGGCCCUCUUCCGAGCCGCUCAGGAGCCACUUUUCAAAGUAGCAGUUGGGCUCACAGCUGUGGUUCACAAAGCGCAGCUUGUUGCCCCGCAGCCCAGCAUCGAUGACCUCGCCAGCGGACGCAUCG
rnacentral:lncRNA from 1 species